rnacentral:rRNA from 1 species
UACGGAGGGUGCAAGCGUUACUCGGAAUUACUGGGCGUAAAGGGCGCGUAGGCGGUACGGUAAGUCAGAUGUGAAAGCCCGGGGCUUAACCCCGGAAGUGCAUUUGAAACUGCCGUGCUUGAGUAUGGGAGAGGGAAGUGGAAUUCCUGGUGUAGAGGUGAAAUUCGUAGAUAUCAGGAGGAACACCGGUGGCGAAGGCGACUUCCUGGACCAAUACUGACGCUGAGGCGCGAAGGCGUGGGGAG